rnacentral:rRNA from 1 species
UGAGCCAAGUUUAGGGUUUUCUCAAAACCCAAGCAGUAUUGAACUGAAGAGUUUGAUCAUGGCUCAGAUUGAACGCUGGCGGCAGGCCUAACA